rnacentral:rRNA from 1 species
AAGUGGCAUACUGCUCAGUAGCACGUAGCUAACCUACCCUUAGGACGUCGAUAACCCCGAGAAAUUGGGGCUAAUAGGCGAUAGGUGUGAUGUCCUGGAAUGGUAUCACGCCCAAAGGUAUCCCAUACAUGUUUGGUAUACGCCUAAGGAUGGGGCUGCGGCCGAUCAGGCAGUUGGUGAGGUAAUGGCUCACCAAACCUUUGACCGGUACGGGCCAUGAGAGUGGUAGCCCGGAGAUGGACACUGAGUCAAGGGUCCAGGCCCUACGGGGCGCAGCAGGCGCGAAACCUCCUCAAUGCACUAACGUGCGAAGGGGUUACCUCGAGUGCCACCUGAAGAAGGUGGCUUUUCCUUGGUCUAAAAAGCCUCGGGAAUAAGAGGGGGGCAAGACUGGUGUCAGCCGCCGCGGUAACACCAGCCCCUCGAGUGGUGGGGAUGAUUAUUUGGCCUAAAGCGUCCGUAGCCGGCCGGGUAAGUCUCCCGUUAAAUCCAACGUCUCAAGCGUUGGACUGCGGGAGAUACUGCCUGGCUAGAGAGUGGGAGAGGUCAGCGGUAUUCUGGGGGUAGGGGCGAAAUCCUUUGAUCCCCGGAGGACCACCAGUGGCGAAGGCUGCUGACUAGAACACGUCUGACGGUCAGGGACGAAAGCUGGGGUAGCGAACCGGAUUAGAUACCCGGGUAGUCCCAGCCGUAAACGAUGCAUGCUAGGUGUUGGGUUGGCCACGAGCCACCCCAGUGCCGCAGGGAAGCCGUUAAGCAUGCCGCCUGGGAAGUACGAUCGCAAGAUUGAAACUUAAAGGAAUUGGCGGGGGAGCACCACCAGGCGUGAAGCCUGCGGUUUAAUUGGAUUCAACGCCGGG